rnacentral:rRNA from 1 species
UACGUAGGGAGCGAGCGUUGUCCGGAAUUACUGGGUGUAAAGGGAGCGUAGGUGGGACUGCAAGUUGGGUGUCAAAUCUACCGGCUCAACCGGUAGCCGCACUCAAAACUGCAGUUCUUGAGUGAAGUAGAGGCAGGCGGAAUUCCUAGUGUAGCGGUGAAAUGCGUAGAUAUUAGGAGGAACACCAGUGGCGAAGGCGGCCUGCUGGGCUUUUACUGACGCUGAGGCUCGAAAGUGUGGGGAGCAAACAGG